CCUACGGGGGGCAGCAGUGGGGGAUAUUGCACAAUGGGCGCAAGCCUGAUGCAGCCAUGCCGCGUGUAUGAAGAAGGCCUUCGGGUUGUAAAGUACUUUCAGCGGGGAGGAAGGUGUUGUGGUUAAUAACCGCAGCAAUUGACGUUACCCGCAGAAGAAGCACCGGCUAACUCCGUGCCAGCAGCCGCGGUAAUACGGAGGGUGCAAGCGUUAAUCGGAAUUACUGGGCGUAAAGCGCACGCAGGCGGUCUGUCAAGUCGGAUGUGAAAUCCCCGGGCUCAACCUGGGAACUGCAUUCGAAACUGGCAGGCUAGAGUCUUGUAGAGGGGGGUAGAAUUCCAGGUGUAGCGGUGAAAUGCGUAGAGAUCUGGAGGAAUACCGAUGGCGAAGGCAGCCAUCUGGCCUAACACUGACGCUGAGGUGCGAAAGCAUGGGGAGCAAACAGGAUUAGAUACCCGAGUAGUC
rnacentral:rRNA from 1 species